rnacentral:lncRNA from 1 species
GAAAAUAUUGCUGUGGCUUUAAUCACUGCAAGCUUAGCUCUGCAAGCAGAGAGCUUGCAUGGCUUUUUCCAGGGAUUUAUUAAAGCAGAUCUGUGUGUUUCUGUGUGAGUUGUAUUGCAAACAUGAGUGGCAUUCUUUUCCCCAGUAUCUCCUUUUCACUACCUGACCAUGAUUUAAUCUCUGAUAUAUCAAUUCUCAAAAAACCCACAAGGAACUCACCUCUCCCCAUGGUACUUCUGCACACACCUUGUUGCUAAGAACUGUGUCACAAUGUAUGAGUCAGCUACCUUGGGAGUCUUGCAUACACUUAUGUGACAGAGUCUGGAGGAGCUGAGUGACUGGACAUUGCACGAACUUCUCCCCCACGAACUGAUUGCAACACAAGGCCAUUUAUAGCAGGCUCCUGCUGUACUUCUGGGCUGCCUGCAUUCCCUAGGGAAUGCUAGCAUGUACACCACUUCUUGACUGGUUUCCAGGAGGCUUAUGAGGACACACAUAGCCAAGCCCUGUUAAGCUGAACCCAAGGAAAAGCAGUGUCACCAGUAAGCAGUUUGAUUACAUUGAUUAUGUCCAGGAAGAAUCUUGAGAAUCUUUUAAGAAUUCUUCAAAAGCAAUUUGCCAACCUCGGAGCCACCUUGUUAGAUGACCUAGGAGAAGAUGUGCUGGCAAGGGUCCCUGGUCCAUCAGCAGGAGGCUGGAGCAACUGGGCUCUACUUGCAAGUUGUGUCCUGCAGCACUACAUGUGUGCCAUAUUCCAGAAAAAGAAUGCUCUGCCAGUCCUCUCACGACUGCUGAAUAGUUUGCAAAGAACGCUGCAGAUGACCAGUCUUGUGUGCUGCAAAGUGUUAUAUUCCUCUGCCCCUGGAAGCUGCCUGGUGUGAACACCACCAUUACCUAUUUGUACAGAGAGCCAAAGUGUUAUAUUCCUCUGCCCCUGGAAGCUCCCUGGUGUGAACACCAUUACCUAUUUGUAUAGAGAGGCCAGUCUUGUGUGCUGCA